ensembl:misc_RNA Metazoa_SRP Metazoan signal recognition particle RNA
UCCAGGCUUGGAGACAUGUACCUGUAGUCCCAGCUACUCAGAAGGCUGAGGCAGAAAGAUUGCUUGAGCCCAGGAGCUCUGGGUUGGAGUGUGCUAUGCCAAUGGGGUAUCUGCACUAAGUUUGGCACCAGUUCGGCAUCGAUUUGGUGACCUCCUGGGAGCAGGGGACCAUCAGAUUGCUUAAGGAGGGGUGAACUGACCCAGAUUGGAAAUGGAGCAGGUCAGAACUCCUGUGCUUAUCAGUAGUGGGAGCAUGCGUGUGAAUAAUCAUUGCACUACAUCCUGGGAAACAUAAGAAUGUUUCUCUU